GUGGGGAAUUUUGCGCAAUGGGCGAAAGCCUGACGCAGCAAUACCGCGUGAGUGAUGAAGGCUCUUGGGUCGUAAAGCUCUGUCAGAGGGGAAGAACCUCCUGUCCUAUAAUACAGGGCAGGCCUGACGGUACCCUCAAAGGAAGCACCGGCUAACUCCGUGCCAGCAGCCGCGGUAAUACGGAGGGUGCGAGCGUUGUUCGGAAUUAUUGGGCGUAAAGCGCGUGUAGGCGGUUUGUUUAGUCUGAUGUGAAAGCCCUGGGCUCAACCCAGGAAGUGCAUUGGAAACUGGCAAACUUGAGUACGGGAGAGGAAAGUGGAAUUUCGAGUGUAGGGGUGAAAUCCGUAGAUAUCGGGAGGAACAUCAGUGGCGAAGGCGGCCACCUGGACAUUUACUGACGCUGAGACGCGAAAGCGUGGGGAGCAAACAGGAUUAGAAACCCUUGUAGUCC
rnacentral:rRNA from 1 species